UACCUUUUCCUUUACGGAAUCCAUAUUGACUUUUGGCAAGAAGUUUAUAUUUUUCAAUAUGCCACUCCAGACGGUUCUUUACGAGAUGCUCUGCAAUCUUUAAUAACACUGAUGAUAAGACUAUGGGGCGAUAGGAAGAAGCUGAAGACGGAGGUUUUCCAGGUUUUAAAAUGGGAAUAACCUUUUGUGUUUUCCAUGAAUUUGGAAUAUUACCCGUUAUUAACAUUAAAUUAACCAAAUCCAAAUAAUAAUUUAAAAUUUCAUCUGAAGCGUGUUUAAAAAAAGAGUAUGGGAUACCAUCGAUGCCCGGAGCCGAGUCUUUUAAAUUUGCAACAACACCUUUUAACUCUUGAAGAGUAAAAAGCGAGUUAAGAUCUUUAAGGCUAACUUCACCUAAAGGUGAUGGACGGAGAAAUGAUACAGAAGGAGGUGCUAAUCUAUUUAAAAAAUCGUUGGCUAAAGAGUCUGGCAUAGGAUGAAAAGGAGGUUUAUAUGCUGACCUGUACCUUUUAAUAUUAUUCCAAACUAUAGAGGCGUGUGUGUCCGGACAGAUAGAUUCACAAAACUUUUUCCAGCUUGCAGACUUCUUUUUCUUAAAUAUUUUUUUUGCAUCGUUAACAGACUUACAAUAAAUAUCGUAGUUUUCAAAGGGGAGAGACAGAAGAAUAGGGAAGUGAUCACUACCGUGACUAGAUGAUAGAACUGACCAGUGUAAAAGAGAAGAUAAAUUUGAAGUACAAAUAGACAAAUCAGGGGCACUAUAACCCUCAUUAGGUGCAGUUUGCCGUGUUGGGAACCCUGUGUUGAGAAUACAUAACUUAUGGAAAUCUAAUAAAUCUAGUACUUCAAAACCCCA